CAAUAAGCGGAGGAAAAGAAACUAACAAGGAUUCCCCUAGUAACUGCGAGUGAAGCGGGAAAAGCUCAAAUUUAAAAUCUGGCAGUCUUUGGCUGUCCGAGUUGUAAUCUAGAGAAGUAUUAUCCGCGCUGGACCGUGUACAAGUCCCCUGGAAUGGGGCGUCAUAGAGGGUGAGAAUCCCGUCUUUGACACGGACUGCCAGGGCUUUGUGAUGUGCUCUCAAAGAGUCGAGUUGUUUGGGAAUGCAGCUCAAAAUGGGUGGUAAAUUCCAUCUAAAGCUAAAUAUUGGCGAGAGACCGAUAGCGAACAAGUACCGUGAGGGAAAGAUGAAAAGAACUUUGGAAAGAGAGUUAAACAGUACGUGAAAUUGCUGAAAGGGAAACGCUUGAAGUCAGUCGCGUUGGCCAGGGAUCAACCUUGCUUUUUUGCUUGGCUUACUUUCUGGUUGAUGGGUCAGCAUCAAUUUUGACUGGUGGAAAAAGUUCAAGGGAAUGUGGCAUCUUCGGAUGUGUUAUAGACUUUGUUCACAUACAUCAGUUGGGAUUGAGGAACUCAGCAYGCCGCAAGGCCGGGUUUUUAACCACGUACGUGCUUANGAUGCUGGCAUAAUGGCUUUAAUCGACCCGUCUUGAAACAC
rnacentral:rRNA from 1 species